CCUACGGGAGGCAGCAGUGAGGAAUAUUGGUCAAUGGGCGCGAGCCUGAACCAGCCAAGUAGCGUGAAGGAUGACUGCCCUACGGGUUGUAAACUUCUUUUAUAAAGGAAUAAAGUGAGGCACGUGUGCCUUUUUGUAUGUACUUUAUGAAUAAGGAUCGGCUAACUCCGUGCCAGCAGCCGCGGUAAUACGGAGGAUCCGAGUGUUAUCCGGAUUUAUUGGGUUUAAAGGGAGCGUAGAUGGGUUGUUAAGUCAGUUGUGAAAGUUUGCGGCUAAACCGUAAAAUUGCAAUUGAUACUGGAAGCCUUGAGGAGAGUUGAGGUAGGCGGAAUUCGGGGUGUAGCGGUGAAAUGCUUAGAUAUCACGAAGAACUCCGAUUGCGAAGGCAGCCUACUAAACGGACACUGACAUUGAUGCUCGAAGUGUGGGUAUCAAACAGGAUUAGAUACCCGAGUAGUC
rnacentral:rRNA from 1 species